AUUGAACGCUGGCGGCAGGCUUAACACAUGCAAGUCGAGCGGGGGAAGGUAGCUUGCUACCGGACCUAGCGGCGGACGGGUGAGUAAUGCUUAGGAAUCUGCCUAUUAGUGGGGGACAACAUCUCGAAAGGGAUGCUAAUACCGCAUACGUCCUACGGGAGAAAGCAGGGGAUCUUCGGACCUUGCGCUAAUAGAUGAGCCUAAGUCGGAUUAGCUAGUUGGUGGGGUAAAGGCCUACCAAGGCGACGAUCUGUAGCGGGUCUGAGAGGAUGGUCCGCCACACUGGGAAUGAGACACGGCCGAGACUCCUACGGGAGGCAGCAGUGGGGAAUAUUGGACAAUGUGGGGAACCCUGAUCCAGCCAUGCCGCGUGUGUGAAGAAGGCCUUAUGGUUGUAAAGCCCUUUAAGCGAGGAGGAGGCUACUUUAGUUAAUACCUAGAGAUAGUGGACGUUACUCGCAGAAUAAGCACCGGCUAACUCUGUGACAGCAGCCGCGGUAAAAC
rnacentral:rRNA from 1 species